rnacentral:rRNA from 1 species
GUAUUUUGUAAUAUUAUCUUAGUUUAGUAACUAAAAUGGUUUGGCAGUGAGUGAUUCUUUUUAGGGGAAGGUGUAGUGUAAAGGAUGUUCCGCCUAUUAAUUUACUUUUAUUAUGUUGGUGUAUAUCUGGUUUGAUAUUAUUGUUGAAUAGUAUAAUUUGUGUAGUGUUAGUUAAGCCAAGUCUAUGUGCUGCUUAUAAAAGUAUUUAUGCGUUACUUUGAUAAAGUUUUAGUUGUAAUACUAUUAUAUAUUUAGGACUUAAAAGUAAUAUCAAAUUAGUUUGUUGAUG